GAAAUGGUGGCCACCCAGUAACUCCACAGUAUGUCCCCAUUUGGUUCUUAAAGGGCCAGCAGCAGCACAACACAAAUCCAUUAUGCCCAAAUCAUGUCUUUAAAGGGCAAUACAAACCAGGGGCCAUAGUCACAGGGCAAGAGGCGGGCAAGCAGUCCUCUCCAGGCACAAGUGGCGAAGGGCACUUCGUCACAGUAAGGAUGGACGUGAUGUUACUUUAGGAGUAGGCGUGGCUGUGGAUAGGGGGAAAUCAGCCUUAUCCAUUCCCAUAUAUUAUUCCUUUUGUCUUCAGUAUAUCCAAACCAUGUGUAUGUCCAGGCGUUGCAAUAUACAGUAAUCCAUUAUCAGUCAUGAUAUUAAAAUCUCAUUCUCAUGAAU